rnacentral:rRNA from 1 species
AGAGUUUGAUCCUGGCUCAGAUUGAACGCUGGCGGAAUGCUUUACACAUGCAAGUCGAACGGUAGAGGGGGCAACCCCUUGAGAGUGGCGAACGGGUGAGUAAUAUAUCGGAACGUGCCCAGUCGUGGGGGAUAACGUAGCGAAAGUUACGCUAAUACCGCAUACGAUCUAAGGAUGAAAGCGGGGGACUCGCAAGAGCCUCGCGCGAUUGGAGCGGCCGAUAUCAGAUUAGGUAGUUGGUGAGGUAAAGGCUCACCAAGCCAACGAUCUGUAGCUGGUCUGAGAGGACGACCAGCCACACUGGAACUGAGACACGGUCCAGACUCCUACGGGAGGCAGCAGUGGGGAAUUUUGGACAAUGGACGCAAGUCUGAUCCAGCCAUUCCGCGUGCAGGAUGAAGGCCCUCGGGUUGUAAACUGCUUUUGUACGGAACGAAAAGGUUUGUCUUAAUACGAUGAGCUCAUGACGGUACCGUAAGAAUAAGCACCGGCUAACUACGUGCCAGCAGCCGCGGUAAUACGUAGGGUGCAAGCGUUAAUCGGAAUUACUGAGCGUAAAGCGUGCGCAGGCGGUUAUGUAAGACAGAGGUGAAAUCCCCGGGCUCAACCUGGGAACUGCCUUUGUGACUGCAUAGCUAGAGUACGGUAGAGGGGGAUGGAAUUCCGCGUGUAGCAGUGA